GAUCAUGGCUCAGGAUGAACGCUAGCUACAGGCUUAACACAUGCAAGUCGAGGGGCAGCAUGAACUUAGCUUGCUAAGUUUGAUGGCGACCGGCGCACGGGUGAGUAACACGUAUCCAACCUGCCGAUGACUCGGGGAUAGCCCUUCGAAAGAAAGAUUAAUACCCGAUGGCAUAGUUCUUCCGCAUGGUAGAACUAUUAAAGAAUUUCGGUACAUCGAUGGGGAUGCGUUCCAUUAGG
rnacentral:rRNA from 1 species